GUGUUCAGUAUCUUCAACAAGAAUACCUGCCCUCCUUGCAAGUAGCUCCAGAAAUAAUUCAGGAGUUUUGUCAAGCGCUUCAGCAGCCUGAUGCUAAAGUUUUUAAAAAUUACUUAAAGGUGUUCUUCCAGAGAGCAAAGCCCUGAGGACUGGAUUUCCCUGUGCCUACUUCAUGAUCAUGAAUUCCAGUUAAUUUAUAAAGAGGCGAUUUUUGUGUGCCAUUCACACUGGUCUUUUUCACAUUGUUUUGAGCUUAUUGCAGUAUAUGUUUUGGGAUUUUUCUGUAAAAUGGGUGUAAUUUUCCUAAUACAGGUAUGUAACAACAAAAGAAGUUGCCUGCAUGCCGGUCCAAAUUGUUCUGUAUAAAGAUGCUCUUAAAAGACACAAGAGUUAUCCUAGAACCUUAAUUCUUUUUUAUUUGAAAUUUUAAGUCAAGUCCUUUAUAAAGACCAUAGCAGUGGAAAACAGUGUACUUUUUAAAAAAUUGCUGAAUAUAAAAUCUUUGAAAAUUUUCUUUAUGUGUGAAGACACAAAGUAUGGGGGAAGACAGCAAUCAAAACUAACUUUUUGUAGAUAGCCAUUUCAUUUCUUUAAACUGUUUCAACGCCAAUAUGUAUUCUACAAAAGAGAAUGGUUUUAGGCUCCAGUGUUAUACUUUUUUUUAUAUAUAUAUAUAAAAAUAAACUUUACGUAGUGAAAUCUUCCAAGUCUUUUCUGGAAUUAUUAUAAAUACUUUAGUUUUAUUUUCUCAUCUUAAUCUCUCCAUAAUUUCCCAUUUAAAGGUUUACAAAUAUGAGUGUGUGGAUGCUUUAAUUCAUUUAACCUCACUCCUCAAAGGUAACAUGCAACUUAGUUCUGUUAUAUGAGAGUCUUUUUCUUUAAUGUACUGGAAAAAGCCUAUGUGAAUCUGUUGAUAGAAUUUAAAAUUCCAGGCCGGGCGUGGUGGCUCACGACUGUAAUCCCAGAACUUUGGGAGGCCAAGGCAGGUGGAUCACUUGAGGUCAGGAGUUCGAGACUAGCCUGGCCAACAUGGUGAAACCCCAUCUCUACUAAAAAUACAACAGCCAGGUGUGAUGGUGCACGCUCGUAAUCCCGGCUACUCAGGAGGCUGAGGCAGGAGAAUCGCUUGAACCCGGAAGGCAGAGGUUGCAGUGAGCUGAGAUUGUGCCACUGCACGCCAGCCUGGGCAAGAGAGUAAGACUCUCUCU
rnacentral:lncRNA from 10 species